rnacentral:rRNA from 1 species
UAGGGAAUAUUAGUAAUGGGCGAAAGCCUGAACUAGCAACGCCGCGUGUGCGAAGAAGGCCUUCGGGUUGUAAAGCACUUUUUGAGAGGAUGAGGAAGGACGGUACUCUCAGAAUAAGUCUCGGCUAACUACGUGCCAGCAGCCGCGGUAACACGUAGGAGGCGAACGUUAUCCGGAUUUACUGGGCGUAAAGCGCGUGUAGGUGGUUUGGUAAGUAGGGCGUGAAAGCUCCUGGCUCAACUGGGAGAGGCCGUUCUAAACUGCCGAACUAGAGGAUGGUAGAGGGAGGUGGAAUUCCGAGUGUAGCGGUGGAAUGCGCAGAUAUCCGGAGGAACACCAGUGGCGAAAGCGGCCUCCUGGACCAUUCCUGACACUCAGACGCGAAAGCUAGGGUAGCA